rnacentral:tRNA from 1 species
GGUAGAGUGGUCAAGUAGGCAGCGGGUUGUAGCCCCGAGGAAGGAGGUUUUAGUCCUCCCUUUACCA